AGCGAACGCUGGCGGCAGGCUUAACACAUGCAAGUCGAGCGGGCAUAGCAAUAUGUCAGCGGCAGACGGGUGAGUAACGCGUGGGAACGUACCUUUUGGUUCGGGACAACUGAGGGAAACUUCAGCUAAUACCGGAUAAGCCCUUACGGGGAAAGAUUUAUCGCCGAAAGAUCGGCCCGCGUCUGAUUAGCUAGUUGGUGAGGUAAUGGCUCACCAAGGCGACGAUCAGUAGCUGGUCUGAGAGGAUGAUCAGCCACAUUGGGACUGAGACACGGCCCAAACUCCUACGGGAGGCAGCAGUGGGGAAUAUUGGACAAUGGGCGCAAGCCUGAUCCAGCCAUGCCGCGUGAGUGAUGAAGGCCCUAGGGUUGUAAAGCUCUUUUGUGCGGGAAGAUAAUGACGGUACCGCAAGAAUAAGCCCCGGCUAACUUCGUGCCAGCCGCCGCAGUAA
rnacentral:rRNA from 1 species